UAAAGUGGCGAACGGCUGAGUAAUACGUGGGCAACCUGCCCUUUGCACUGGGAUAGCCUCGGGAAACCGAGGUUAAUACCGGAUACUCCAUAUUUGUCGCAUGGCGAAUAUGGGAAAGCUCCGGCGGCAAAGGAUGGGCCCGCGGCCUGUUAGCUAGUUGGUGGGGUAGUGGCCUACCAAGGCAAUGAUGGGUAGCCGGGUUGAGAGACCGACCGGCCAGAUUGGGACUGAGACACGGCCCAGACUCCUACGGGAGGCAGCAGCU
rnacentral:rRNA from 1 species